rnacentral:rRNA from 1 species
CCUACGGGGGGCAGCAGUCGAGAAUCAUUCACAAUGGGGAAAACCCUGAUGGUGCGACGCCGCGUGGGGGAAUGAAGGUCUUCGGAUUGUAAACCCCUGUCAUGUGGGAGCAAAUUAAAAAGAUAGUACCACAAGAGGAAGAGACGGCUAACUCUGUGCCAGCAGCCGCGGUAAUACAGAGGUCUCAAGCGUUGUUCGGAAUCACUGGGCGUAAAGCGUGCGUAGGCUGUUUCGUAAGUCGUGUGUGAAAGGCGCGGGCUCAACCCGCGGACGGCACAUGAUAAUGCGAGACUAGAGUGAUGGAGGGGGAACCGGAAUGCUCGGUGUAGCAGGGAAAUGCGUAGAUAUCGAGAGGAACACUCGUGGCGAAGGCGGGUUCCUGGACAUUAACUGACGCUGAGGCACGAAGGCCAGGGGAGCGAAAGGGAUUAGAUACCCCAGUAGUC